UGAGCAUAGUUUAACAAAUUCUAGUUCGUGACGCUAGAGAUGAAGACUAAUUAUCUUCUGCUCACC
rnacentral:tRNA from 1 species